rnacentral:lncRNA from 1 species
AAGCUGGGUAAGCCAUGGGUUGCAGGCCAGUAAGCGGCACCCCUCCGCCGCCUCUGCGUCAGUUCCUGCUUCCAGGUUCCUGUCCUGCUUGGGUUCCUGUAGCUGCGAAGAGCAGGGAUACAGAAGUGCUGUGGAACCAACAGUCUCGACUGCCUCACCCUGACUGACUUAACACUGGGUGUCUCUACGUCCUUGGACUGCAGUCUCCUCUCCGCAGGGAACAGAAGUGAACAUGCCACUCAGUCCAAAAUCUGCUGAGAAACUUUGGGGAGAAGUAAAGUCCUGGAUCCCAACUCUGCCCUAUUUUGCUGUGCGGCUCUGGCCAUACUGAUCAACCUCUCUGUUUUAGUCACCCAUUUGUAAACUGGUCAUCACAGCAUGCAUACCAUCGUGCCACUGGAGGGUUAAACGAGUUAAGCCUGGUAAAGAGCAUCAGGCACAUAGAUUGUUAAUGGUGUGGUUCCUAUCAGGAGAACCAGGGUUUAUUGUGUAGUAGAUGCUUAAUAAGUGACACAUAGAGACCAUCACCACCACCACCAUCAUCACUACCGUCCCAGUUUUCUUCUCUGCUGCUGUGAUAAAACACCAAGCAAAGGAACCGUCUCUUUGGCUCACACAUCCCAGUUCCGAGGGAGGUGAGGGCGGGCACUCAAGCAGGAGCAGAGGCCAGAACCGUGGAGGAAACUGUUUCCUGGCUUGCUCAGCUUGCUUUCCUAUACAACCCAAGAUCAUUUGCCCAAGGGUGGGUGGCACCACCCUCAGUGGGCUAGAGCCUCCCACCCAAUCAUUAAUAAAGAUAGCACCCCACACCCA